ensembl:lncRNA
GUUUAAUUUCGGUUCUCCCUUGAGCUGGCCCGCUGUUCUAACAGCAUCUCCUACUCUAAUAAACUUUAUUCUCCUCUCAUUCUGCCUCAGGUCUGGAAAUUCUUUUCCAACCCGUGCCCGGACCACGACACGACUUUUUACGACCUCAUGGAUGUAGCCCGUCAGGGCCCUCUGUCCAUGGGAUUUCCCAGUGCUGCCUUCUGAGAAAUCUGUAUACAGAUCAAGAAGCAACAGUUAGAACCAGACAUGGAACAACAGACUGUUUUCAAACUGGGAAAGGAGUACAUCAAAGCUGUAUAUUGUCACCCUGCUUAUUUAACUUACAUACAGAGCGUAUCAUGUGAAAUGCCAGGC